AAAAGAGAAGCCGAAAUGAGAGAGAGGAGGAGAGGAGCCGAUUGGACGAGAGAGGAGGCCGAGAUUGAGGAAGAUUCGGGCCGAGAAGGAGAAGGGAAUACCGCGCGAGGGAGAGACGAGCAAGGAAACUCGAAGGAGAGAAAGAAAUGCAACCGAAGAAGAGAGGAGGAGGUAUCGGAGGCGGAAAGUCAAAGGCAAGGGAAGGAAAGGGAAUCAUGGCUGAGAAACAUUGUGUCGAAGGCGAAAUCUGAAGCUGAGCUGCACGCAACAUCGGUGUCUAAAAAAUUUAUAAGUUUCGUCCUUUCCAUCUCUAAUUUUCGAGAAUCCCUUUUCCUAUUUCACACUAACCGACAUGUUGGUGUAAAGUCCAUUAUCCAAACUUUAAAGCAAGCGAGGAGUGUUAGCUAGGAACCAAGAAGACCAUCCUCGAAGUUGAACCCGAGGCUGUUUGGGUUUUUGGAGCACCGCACCCGAGCCAAGUGCGUUCCUUUUCCUCUUUCAGUGUGUGUUUUUAAAGAAAUGGGUAUUCAUGUGUGUGUGUGUGCAGGUUCGUGAGCUAGAGCACUCGCCUCACCAUGGUGAGUGUGAGGGUCUUCUCGAAAAAAUUGGAACGCAUCUCCAGUAGUGUAGAUCAGGAAAAGUGAGGCUGUUUGGCCUUCAUAACACCAAACUGAAGCAGAUGACCAUUCGUUUCCUUUUUCAUUGUAGAAUUUUAGGUGAUGUCGGAUGCUAAUACAUAUGUAUGUCUAUACGUAUAGGUUUUGGAGUAAAUCGCCCACACCUACACAGGAAGCUGAAGUGGUGGUUUGCCAAAUAUUGAAGAAUGAACUUGUUGUGGCCGUUGAUUAGGUGGAAUACAAUCCGUUGAAGGACUUUGGAGAAAGAAGAGUCAGAAUUGUUACCGGAUGAGUAGAAUUUUUGAAAGUGUUCUGGUUCAUCUAUAUUUUAUUCAUAUUCUAAAAAUUUUCAUUUUAUUUUGUUUUAUUCUAAAUUUUGACCUUAUAUUCUAUAUAUAUAAUUGUUGUAUAUAUCACAUUGGAUAAUAUGUUUUAUGUUAAA